rnacentral:rRNA from 1 species
UCUUAUGUACAUGCCUACAACAUAGCGUUAACACCAGAUCCCAUUAGAACUCUGCAGUUAAGUGUGCUUAGGCUACUAGAGUAGUAUUGGGAUGGGUGAUUGCUUAGGAAGUCCUAGUGUUUUACAUGCC